rnacentral:lncRNA from 1 species
UAAUAGCAGUAACUUACCCUAGCCGUUGUAAUUCCACUAAUAUCUGGAUACUCAUCAACUCCAUGUUCGCCUGUGUGAGCGCUCGCUAAAAAUAAAUAGUACCAUUUUACAAUAUGUUCUAGUCUCUAUUCAAGGUAUCAAUAUCUAUUAAAAACUGCGCGUAUGUGUUUAAUUUUAUAUCUAAUAUUUUCUGUAAAGAAACAUUUGGAUCAUAUAGCUACCUUGGAAGAACACAGCCAUAUCUCAAAAAAA